AACAACACCAUUGACCGGAAGGGAUUCCUUCCGGUCAAUGGGGCUGUUACACCUCAUCAACCGGAAGGGAUUCCUUCCAGUUGAUGAGGUUGUUACACCUCAUUGACCGGAAGGAAUCCCUUCUGGUCGAUGAGGUUGUU
rnacentral:miRNA from 1 species